GACGAACGCUGGCGGCGUGCUUAACACAUGCAAGUCGAACGGAAAGGCCCUGCUUUUGUGGGGUGCUCGAGUGGCGAACGGGUGAGUAACACGUGAGUAACCUGCCCUUGACUUUGGGAUAACUUCAUGAAACUGGGGCUAAUACCGGAUAGGAGCUCCUGCUGCAUGGUGGGGGUUGGAAAGUUUCGGCGGUUGGGGAUGGACUCGCGGCUUAUCAGCUUGUUGGUGGGGUAGUGGCUUACCAAGGCUUUGACGGGUAGCCGGCCUGAGAGGGUGACCGGCCACAUUGGGACUGAGAUACGGCCCAGACUCCUACGGGAGGCAGCAGUGGGAAAUAUUGCACAAUGGGCGGAAGCCUGAUGCAGCAACGCCGCGUGCGGGAUGACGACCUUCGGGUUGUAAACCGCUUUCGCCUGUGACGAAGCGUGAGUGACGGUAAUGGGUAAAGAAGCACCGGCUAACUACGUG
rnacentral:rRNA from 1 species